rnacentral:lncRNA from 1 species
AUAAUGUUUUAUUAAUUUGUCCUUUUUGGCUGCUGCCAAGACAGCAUAUAUGGAACUGAUUUUUGAACCUCAAGAAACUGACAUUUUGAAUUCUGCUUUGUAUCAUAAGCCUCAAAUGCAAGAAGCUGUGAUUAGAAUGUGAUAAUAGCCGAGGUGCCAUAAUUCUCUGCUGUUGUAUGUUGCCACAAACCUUCAAUCCGUGAGAAAUGCGGUAUCCAUGGUGCACCAUAAAGAGGAGCUCAAUAAAACAAGGAGGUUUGUGCAGCUAAAAUAUCUGACUCCUAAAAUGGAGUUUCCUGAAAUUAUUCCUUACUCAUAGUGUAAUGAGGUGUACGUGUUGGAUCUAUUAUAACUUUCUUUCACUCCAUCUCUCAGAAUAGAUGAUCAUCCUCAUCUUUGCAUCAUAUUCCAAUUAGAAAGGGAUGAUACAACAAGAAAGCUCUCGUAAGAUGUCAGCUGCUUGAUUUUGGACUUCGCAAACUCUAGAACUUUUCUCUUGCUUGCUCCUGCCAUGUAAGAAGUGCCUUUCG